GCGGGGGUAACUCAGUUGGGAGAGUGUCAGACUGAAGAUAGAAACUUCAAUCAUCUUAUCUGAAAGCCGUGUGUUCGAUCCACACCCACCGCA